rnacentral:miRNA from 1 species
GAAUGGGAGUAAGGAUGAGAUUGAGAGAGAAGAUGAGAGGAAUGAGUAACAAAAGUGAAAACAAAAACUUGAAAUAGAUUUCAGUAUUUAGUUUUUGUUUUCACUUUUGUUACUCCUCCCUUCCAUCCUCUCCUCUCAUCUUCCCUCUCAAUCUCAUUUCCACUUUCAUUCU